UACGGAGGGGGCUAGCGUUGUUCGGAAUUACUGGGCGUAAAGCGCACGUAGGCGGCUUUGUAAGUUAGAGGUGAAAGCCCGGGGCUCAACUCCGGAACUGCCUUUAAGACUGCAUCGCUUGAAUCCAGGAGAGGUGAGUGGAAUUCCGAGUGUAGAGGUGAAAUUCGUAGAUAUUCGGAAGGAACACCAGUGGCGAAGGGCGGCUCACUGGA
rnacentral:rRNA from 1 species